CUUAAUAUUUAGCCUUUGAUAAAGAAGCUUGAACAGAAGAAAAAUCAUGAUUUUUUUUUUUUGGCCCUGUGUUAGCUUCUUGUUUUGUAGCUAGCAAGAUAUAUAUUAUCCAUAUAUCUGUGUCAGUUUUCUUUUACAUUCUCCACUUAGCCUAUAUUCUGAGAUAAAUAAUUGCUGGCAAGCUUUCAUGGGGCCAAAGAAUUGAAUUCUUAAAGGCAAAUAAACAAUUUUAAGAAUGAGAAUGACACAUGCAGAGGGAGAGAGGCCAACCAAGAAACAGACUUUUAACUAUAGAGAGCAAACUGAUAGUUACUAGAGAGGUGCAUGGGGGAAUGGGUUAAAUAGUUGAUGGGGAUUAAGGAGGGCACUUGCUAUGAUGGACACCAGGUGAUGUAUGUAAAUGUUAAAUCACUAUGUUGUACACCUGAAACUAAUAUAACACUGUAUGUUAACUUGAAUUAAAAUAAAGUGAAAACUUUAAAAAAUUAAAAAAAUAAAAUAAAAGAAUGACAUCGUAGGAAGGAAACUAAACAAAGUUGGGAACCCAGGUUCAAGUUCUAGGUUUGCAUGUAACUAUUUAUCCUUGAAUAUUUGCUUAGCCAAGAGCUCUUGCCUUUAGUAUUUAUUUCUCUCACGAGAUUUGAACUAGAAAACCUCUUAAGUUCAACAAAUAUAUGGCAUGACUUUUGGAACAAUAUUGAUUUCAAAAUCUCUUAUGACUUUAACAUCUGUAAAUAAAAAAUAUCUCAAAUGCUAAUAUUUCAGACUUUUCAGUCCUGGAAAUAUUGUAGAAAUCCUUUAUUAAAAUUAUGUGAUUUGGUCUUGAUUUGGAAAAUGGAGUCCUACCAUAUCUUUAUUCAUUUCCCAACUAGAAUUAUGUGAUUCUAGGAUAGAUACAGAACAACAUCCCAUUUCAUAUCCACUAUGCCACCUCCUUCUCAAGCCGUUCCUCUUCCAAAUUUUCAGCCACUUUAACAUUAAAAACUUUUCUACCUAAACUUAUACCUUCAGAACUAUAUAAUUUUAUCUUUUUCUAAAGUCAGUAUAAAUUAUUUUUAACUCAUAAUGGUAUUUGUUCAGAACAGUUGGAUUGAAUGCUUACUGUGUGUAAUAUGCAUAAUGGAACCUUAAGUACAAUACCGAUACUGGGAAAGAUAAAGAAUUCAAAUAGUAAUUUUUGUCAGAGAAAAUUUGGGAAAUUAUUUGUGGAGCUUAGUUAUAAUUUUCCAGGGGAUAUGCCUUUAUUUUCUCUGUGUUCCAGGUCUUUCCUGAAAUUUAGAAGCCCCUUUGUUCCCCUUCCUUUCUGAUGCUAUCAGUGGUGAUGAUCACCUUUGAGGAAGAAAAGCCCACUUCCACUGACCAUGGAGAAUACACAGCAUCUCUGCUUGAUUGUGACAAGGCAAGUCCCAGGCAAUGGAUAAAAUCAAAUCUGAAACAGUUGAUUCAUGUUGGUGAAAGCUACCAAAAGAAUGUGAGGAUGGUUUUAAAGAUUUCCUGGUAAUUGAUAAAGCAUGUUCAGGUGGCCAGGCAAGUUUGGAGAGCUUCUUUGACACUUACAAGGGUUAUUAAAGGUUGUUGAGAAGCUACAUUUAGGAGUUAGAGGAACUGACAAAAUCCUUUUCACAGAAUGACAUGGUGAGAACAAGUUGAAAUUUUUGUAAAUUUAUUAAGUGUUCAAAGGAGUGAAACACCUGAUUAAAUUUCUGAUGCUCUU